AAAAACAAACACAGCAACAAUUUUCUUGAACAGCUCAUUCAUAUUCUAAGUACAAUUUCUGAUCCAAUCUCCCAGAUUAGGUAAUAUUUUCUCUAUGUGACUGUCCCCACACAAGAUGCACCACCAUGCAUGACAAAUGCAUUUCUUCAAGCAGAACUGCAAUACAGGUCUACCUCAAGGGGUCUGUCUGUUCCUUCCUCAAUGGUGUCGACAGGAUCUUGUUAAGUUGCCCAGGCUGAUGCUCAUGAACUUCCAAUCUUUUCUUCAAACGUCAGAGUACCUGAAAUCACAGGUGUGCACCACCACAUCCAGCCAGCCAGUGUUACUGCAUUUAACUUUUGAUGGAUUCUGACUGAUUUAGGAUAACCCAAUGUGAAGGACUCAACAAUUUUAUGACUAUCAACUGUGUACUAUCAACUCUGUAAAAAGAAUAAUGCUGACAUGCUAUGACACAGAAUUGGAAUGUGGGCAGUAGUCACACUGGCCAGCAGCAACACACUCUGUGCUUUGUGGAUAAACAGAAGAUAUAUUAAAAGCAAGAAAACGCAGUAACAAGUGAUAUGUCAACCAACUUCGAGAAGAUACAUCCAGAAAUCAUCUAGUAGUUUUUAUCUGUACUACAGGAAAUCAUGACUACUCACACAGACUAAAGUUAAAUAAUGUUUAAAUAAAACACAUCUUAUGAAUUGCA